CCGCAGAGCUGCUUCCAGAGGCGCCUUAGCCAGGGACCUGCUUGGCCAGAGACAGAUCCCUUGCUGCCCUCUCUGCCGGUUCUUGAGAACAGGGGAGCGCAUCAGAAUCACCUGGAGGCCUUGUUCAACUCCUGACUGCUGCCCUUAGGCCCAGAGUGUGUGACUCAGUAAGGGCUGGGGUGGGCGCCCAGGUUCUCAGGUGAUCCGGAUGCUGUUGGUCCUGGGACCACGCUAUGAGAAACUCCCUAGAAAUAAGUGAUGCUCAGUAAUGAAUUCCAGAAUUGCUGGAAAGCUGGA